GCAGGAGUGGCGGAAUAGGCAGACGCGCAGGUUUCAGGUACCUGUUGUUAACGCAGUGUGGGUUCAAGUCCCAUCUCCUGCACCA
rnacentral:tRNA from 1 species